rnacentral:tRNA from 1 species
GCCCUGGUGGCACAAAGGUUAAGUGCUUGGCUCCUAACUGAAAGGUUGUUGGUUCAAACCCAUCCAGUGGCU